UCUUAGUAUAGUGUUCUCUUAAUAUAGAUCAGUUCCUUGAUCUUAUUUUCCACACAGCAGUUGUGCCAGCACAACAGAAGGGAUGGCACAGGCUGGAAACAGCAGCCAGGAGAGUGGGGAGGAAGGAGCUGUAUCUGCAUGAACUAACCUUGCUGCUAAGGAAAUGUGCUGGUUAACAACAUCAACACGUACAGGAAAUGAGGAUACCGUGACCAGCCAGGAUACAUCGUUCAGCAGCAGCAAAGACGUUUUUC
rnacentral:lncRNA from 1 species